rnacentral:rRNA from 1 species
GGCCAGACUCCUACGGGAGGCAGCAGUGGGGGAUAUUGCACAAUGGGGGGAACCCUGAUGCAGCGACGCCGCGUGGGUGAAGGAGCGUUUCGGCGCGUAAAGCCCUCUCGGCAGGGAAGAAGAUGACGGUACCUGACCAAGAAGCCCCGGCUAACUACGUGCCAGCAGCCGCGGUAAUACGUAGGGGGCAAGCGUUAUCCGGAUUUACUGGGUGUAAAGGGAGCGUAGACGGCAGCGCAAGUCUGGAGUGAAAUGCCGGGGCCCAACCCCGGAACUGCUUUGGAAACUGUGCAGCUGGAGUGCAGGAGAGGUAAGCGGAAUUCCUAGUGUAGCGGUGAAAUGCGUAGAUAUUAGGAGGAACACCAGUGGCGAAGGCGGCUUACUGGACUGUAACUGACGUUGAGGCUCGAAAGCGUGGGGAGCAAACAGGAUUAGAUACCCGGGUAU